AAUGCAAUUGCUGAGUUGUAUGGUAAAGCAAAUACUUAGUUUUGUAAGAAACUGUCAUCAUGUUUUCCAGAGUGGCUGUACCAUUUUACAUUCCCACUAUCACU
rnacentral:pre_miRNA from 1 species